GAAACCCUGACCUGUGCGCCUGUCCAUCCCAGCAUGGCCGCCGCCUCGUCCUCCUCCUGCGGCGGCGCCGGCUGCGGGACCCACUGCUCCUCCUCCACCUCGUCAUCCGUAGAGGAUGCUCCGGAGGGGAUUCUGGGCCGUCUGUCCAUAUCCGGUGCCGCCGCCUCCUGCGGCAAGUGCGGCGGCGGCGCCGUCGUCGUGGUUGCCGGAGGCGUCGGUCUGUGCGGAGAGUGCUUGCGCGCCCAGCUGUUCGGGAAGUUCAAGCUCGCCGUCACAAGCAACGCCAUGGUUCGGCCAACCGACUCCGUCCUCGUCGCCUUCUCCGGCGGCCCCGCCUCCAGGGUGGCUCUGCAAUUCAUACAUGAGAUGCGGUCCAAGGCAAUCGAAAGCUGGGACGCCAGCAAUUCGCAAGCCCUACCCGUCUUCAAUGUCGGGGCGGCGUUCGUUGACGAGAGUGUUUUGUUGUCGAAGCCCGAAUGUGAAGUUGAGCAGGCAACUGAAGAUAUUAAGUCACUUGUGUCGAGUUUGUUGCCGGGAGAUAAAGCAAUGCACAUUGCCUCUCUUGAUUAUGUGUUCUCGUCGGAAUCAAAAGACGGCAAAGGCAGGCUGAGGGAGCUAGUUGGCAUGAUUACUGAUGACACUGGGAGGGAGGAUCUUCUUCAGUGCUUGCGCAUGCUUUCGUUGCAGAAGAUUGCACUGGAAAAUGGGUACACAAAGAUCAUGCUGGGAUCAUGUGCUUCUACAAUAGCAUGUCAUGUGCUAUCUGCAACAGUAAAGGGCCAAGGUUAUUCCUUACCAGCUGAUAUCCAAUAUGUUGAUACACGGUGGGAAGUGCCUGUCGUUCUUCCACUUCGUGAUUGCCUGGCCCAAGAGCUUAGCCUGCUCUGUGAAUUUGAUAGUUUAAAGACACAGGAACUUCUUGAUAGGCCUUGCAGUGGCAUCAAUGGCUUAGUCGCAUCUUUUGUUGCACGACUAAGGGAGGAGAAUCCUUCUCGUGAGCAUACUAUUGUAAGAACUGCACAAAAACUUAAGCCAUUCCCUUUUAACAAGUUCUCAGCAAAUGGCUAUCAUGAUUUCCUGCCGUCGCGGCUGCGUCCCAAGUUCCAGGAUGUUGAUAGCGAUGAGUCUGCUUCCUCUGAGGUUCUCUGCCUGAUAUGUCGAAGUCCAUUCAGUGAAUCAGAACUCCAGAAUUUUGAAAGCACAAGGCGCAAGUCUCAGAAGAAAAUUGAUCUGUAUACUGCUUAUUGCUGUCAAAGCUGUCAUUUCCAGAUUCUACCAGGAGGUAGAGACCUGUAUGACCAUUUCUUUUCACUAAUACCAAGGUUCUGGACUGAGAGAGCAGAUACUGCAUCUGCCAGCCAUAGCUCGCUAAGAGAUCAAAUAGAAGACUAUCUUCUUGAAGACGAUGAUGAUGGGAACUGACACUUGUUCAUUGAUGCCAGAAGCCUACAGAGAUUCCUUCCUAGUUGGGCCUCACAAAUCAUGACAUAAACCAAACUUGCUUGGGAUAACAGUGUUUGCAUCUAGUAAGGCACUGGUUUUUUCAGACUUCUGCCAUAUUCUUAGAAUUACCCUGCACUAUAUAUUUUUAUUUAAUUUUCUGGUGUACCUGUAAGUCCUCCCUCAAGUUAAAACAUGUCUGAAACUUGUAGAGUGAUAAAGGAAACCAUCACUUGCCAGCAGUUUUGCACUGAUCUCAGACAGCUGACUUUGGGUAGCUGCAGGUUCCCAACUUCCAUGUGAUUACAGUAUUCUGAUUGGUCUCAUCUACUGUACCAACUAUUUGCCUGCAAGAUUGUAAUCAGAUGAAUUUACCAAAUGGGUUUACAACAACUAUGUGCUGUAUAAACUUUUGUACCUCUCUUGAUUAUAAUCUAU
rnacentral:rRNA from 1 species